rnacentral:rRNA from 1 species
AUACGGAGGAUCCGAGCGUUAUCCGGAUUUAUUGGGUUUAAAGGGUGCGCAGGCGGCCAUUUAAGUCAGCGGUUAAAUCGUGGGGCUCAACCCCAUUCUGCCGUUGAUACUGGGUGGCUUGAUUGCGGUCGAGGUUGGCGGAAUUCGUUGUGUAGCGGUGAAAUGCAUAGAUAUGACGAAGAACACCGAUUGCGUAGGCAGCUGACCAGACCGCAAAUGACGCUCAUGCACGAAAGUGCGGGGAUCGAACAGGAUUAGAUACCCUGGUAGUCCACACAGUAAACGAUGAAUACUCGCUGUUUGCGAUAUACAGUAAGCGGCCAAGCGAAAGCGUUAAGUAUUCCACCUGGGGAGUACGCCGGCAACGGUGAAACUCAAAUGAAUUGGCGGGG